rnacentral:rRNA from 1 species
CUCUGCUGGGCCAUUACUGACGCUCAUGGACGAAAGCCAGGGGAGCGAAAGGGAUUAGAUACCCCUGUAGUCCUGGCCGUAAACGAUGAACACUAGGUGUCGGGGGAAUCGACCCCUUCGGUGUCGUAGCUAACGCGUUAAGUGUUCCGCCUGGGGAGUACGCACGCAAGUGUGAAACUCAAAGGAAUUGACGGGGGCCCGCACAAGCGGUGGAGUAUGUGGUUUAAUUCGAUGCAACGCGAAGAACCUUACCAGGGUUUGACAUCCUGCGAACCUCUUAGAAAUUUGAGGGUGCCUUCGGGAAUGCAGUGACAGGUGGUGCAUGGCUGUCGUCAGCUCGUGUCGUGAGAUGUUGGGUUAAGUCCCGCAACGAGCGCAACCCACGUUUUUAGUUGCCAGCAUUUAGUUGGGCACUCUAGAAAGACCGCCGGUGAUAAACCGGAGGAAGGUGUGGAUGACGUCAAGUCAUCAUGCCCCUUACACCCUGGGCUACACACGUACUACAAUGCUACGGACAAAGGGCAGCAAACUCGCGAGAGCUAGCAAAUCCCAUAAACCGUGGCUCAGUUCAGAUCGUAGGCUGCAACUCGCCUACGUGAAGUAGGAAUCGCUAGUAAUCGCAGGUCAGCAUACUGCGGUGAAUACGUUCCCGGGCCUUGUACACACCGCCCGUCACACCAUGGAAGUUGGCCAUGCCCGAAGUCGUUACUCCAACCCUUGUGGAGGAGGACGCCGAAGGUGGGGCUAAUGACUGGGGUGAAGUCGUAACAAGGUAGCCGUACCGGAAGGUGCGGCUG